CUUGAAUUAAGCAAAAAAAAAAAAUCUUUUAAUAAUUAUAUAUUGUCAAAAUUGCACUUGUUUUUCUGAAGAUGUUUCCAGUUCAUGUAAUUCAGACUUUUGUAGAUAUUAACAUUAUUAUUUCAUUUUACUUUUUUCCACUGUUAUUAUUUUACUGGUUUGGCCCACUUCAGAUCAUACUGGGCUGAAUGUGGCCCCUGAACUAAAAUGAGUUUGACACCCCUGCUCUAAAUGAUUCUUUGCCUCAUUUAUAAAUGGAAUUUUCUCCUUUUCUCUUCCGAUUCCUUCCAUUCUCUUUCAGCCAGCCUCGAACUAUACUCAUGCAGAAGAUUUGAUUGCAGAUGGUCGUCAAAGCUCCAGUAAUGAAUCCUCACAAAGUAGCAGUGGCUUUGUGCCCAUGGCCACUGAGAGCCGACUGGCUCCUGUACCUGGCCCUGUUCCCCACAGCUAUCCAGUCAGCAAAGAACUGCAACUCCCAGAGGCCUUCACUUCCACCGCCACACACUUCACCCCCAUCAUCCUGACCAAUAAAGAGUUAUCAGAGGAGGAAACCACAAACGUUGACGCUGCCACCGAAGGGACUGUGGAUGGAUUCACACAAAGCAGCGAACAUAUGGAGGACAGAGACCUUGACUUCACGUCCCACUCUGAGGACCCACAUCCUUCACCAACUGAAGCUGAUCCAUGUGCAGAGGAGUCGGGCAGCCCUGUCCAUCAGCUGCCCAUGACCUGUACGUCCCCCGGUAACAAGACACCGGUCAACUCCACGUCUCCUCCUGAUAUUCCCUGUGUUGAAGUCACUCUCCCCUUGUCGUUACACUCCAACCUCAACGGUUUCGGCGUUUUCAACAACUUCCUCUUCCGCCAGGAUCCCACAUCUGGACACUUGUCUUUAGUUCCGGUGCAGGUCAGGGCUCCGGAGUCUCUCCUGGGGUUGGACAUAAACCCCUCUGUGGUCUCUCAGUCAUUACAGGGGUUAAUCGUGGUUCCAGAGAAUGCUGACGGUUUGAGUGUCAGCUGUCGGACUGCACCUCCGAGGGCUGAACUUAAAGGAUACAACCUUCCGUCAUCUUACGCCAACAGCGGCUCCGUCAUUCCUGACAACCCAUCGGAGCAGAAUCUGCCUAGAGAGGACGACG
rnacentral:lncRNA from 1 species